rnacentral:rRNA from 1 species
UAGGGAAUAUUAGAAAUGGACGAAAGUCUGAUCUAGCAACACCGCGUGUGCGAAGAAGGCCUUCGGGUUGUAAAGCUCUGUCAGGAGGGACGAAGCCACUCAGGUGAAUAGCCGAGAGGGUGACGGUACCUCCAGAGGAAGCCUCGGCUAACUACGUGCCAGCAGCCGCGGUAAAACGUAGGAGGCGAGCGUUAUCCGGAUUUACUGGGCGUAAAGGGUGCGUAGGCGGUGGUGUAAGUCGAACGUGAAAUUCCGGAGCUCAACUUCGGAACGGCGUACGAAACUGCAUCACUUGAGGAAUGGCGGAGAAAAUGGAAUUCCAUAUGUAGCGGUGAAAUGCGUAGAUAUAUGGAAGAACACCUGUGGCGAAAGCGGUUUUCUAGCCUUCUCCUGACGCUGAGGCACGAAAGCAAGGGGAGCAAACA